rnacentral:misc_RNA from 1 species
AGUUGAAAUAAAUGAAAAUUCUUAUGGUGAAUUUUUCUGGAUUUAGUUUUGUUUUUUAUCUGUAGAAUGGCUGUUUGGGAGUUCACUUGAAUGAGCUUAAUCAUACAUGCUCCAUUGGGCAAUUUUCUUUCUUCAAAUUUUGAGAGUCUAAGCUCCUAUGAUCAAGUGAGUCUGUCGAGUAAGAUUUAUUUCUAUCCAUAUUAAUGCAAUCAACACUUAAAUGGAGGAAAUUUGUUUUUGCUAUCAAAA